UACGGGGGGGGCAAGCGUUGUUCGGAAUUACUGGGCGUAAAGGGCCAGUAGGUGGCCAACUAAGUCCGACGUGAAAUCCCAAGGCUUAACCUUGGAACUGCGUCGGAUACUGGAUGGCUUGAAUUCGGGAGAGGGAUGCAGAAUUCCAGGUGUAGCGGUGAAAUGCGUAGAUAUCUGGAGGAAUACUGGUGGCGAAGGCGGCAUCCUGGACCGACAUUGACGCUGAACGGCGAAAGCUAGGGGAGCAAACGGG
rnacentral:rRNA from 1 species